UUGAUGCAAGGUUAAGCAGUAAAUGUGGAGCCGUAGCGAAAGCGAGUCUGAAUAGGGCGUUUAGUAUUUGGUCGUAGACCCGAAACCAGGUGAUCUACCCUUGGUCAGGUUGAAGUUCAGGUAACACUGAAUGGAGGACCGAACCGACUUACGUUGAAAAGUGAGCGGAUGAACUGAGGGUAGCGGAGAAAUUCCAAUCGAACCUGGAGAUAGCUGGUUCUCUCCGAAAUAGCUUUAGGGCUAGCCUCAAGUGAUGAUUAUUGGAGGUAGAGCACUGUUUGGACGAGGGGCCCCUCUCGGGUUACCGAAUUCAGACAAACUCCGAAUGCCAAUUAAUUUAACUUGGGAGUCAGAACAUGGGUGAUAAGGUCCGUGUUCGAAAGGGAAACAGCCCAGACCACCAGCUAAGGUCCCAAAAUAUAUGUUAAGUGGAAAAGGAUGUGGCGUUGCCCAGACAACUAGGAUGUUGGCUUAGA
rnacentral:rRNA from 1 species